rnacentral:rRNA from 1 species
GAUGAACGCUGGCGGCGUGCUUAACACAUGCAAGUCGAACGAUGAAGCCCACUUGUGGGUGGAUUAGUGGCGAACGGGUGAGUAACACGUGAGUAACCUGCCCUUGACUCUGGGAUAAGCCUGGGAAACUGGGUCUAAUACCGGAUAUGACCUUCCAUCGCAUGGUGGUUGGUGGAAAGCUUUUGUGGUUUUGGAUGGACUCGCGGCCUAUCAGCUUGUUGGUGGGGUAAUGGCCUACCAAGGCGACGACGGGUAGCCGGCCUGAGAGGGUGACCGGCCACACUGGGACUGAGACACGGCCCAGACUCCUACGGGAGGCAGCAGUGGGGAAUAUUGCACAAUGGGCGCAAGCCUGAUGCAGCGACGCCGCGUGAGGGAUGACGGCCUUCGGGUUGUAAACCUCUUUCAGUAGGGAAGAAGCGAGAGUGACGGUACCUGCAGAAGAAGCGCCGGCUAACUACGUGCCAGCAGCCGCGGUAAUACGUAGGGCGCAAGCGUUAUCCGGAAUUAUUGGGCGUAAAGAGCUCGUAGGCGGUUUGUCGCGUCUGCCGUGAAAGUCCGGGGCUCAACUCCGGAUCUGCGGUGGGUACGGGCAGACUAGAGUGAUGUAGGGGAGACUGGAAUUCCUGGUGUAGCGGUGAAAUGCGCAGAUAUCAGGAGGAACACCGAUGGCGAAGGCAGGUCUCUGGGCAUUAACUGACGCUGAGGAGCGAAAGCAUGGGGAGCGAACAGGAUUAGAUACCCUGGUAGUCCAUGCCGUAAACGUUGGGCACUAGGUGUGGGGGACAUUCCACGUUUUCCGCGCCGUAGCUAACGCAUUAAGUGCCCCGCCUGGGGAGUACGGCCGCAAGGCUAAAACUCAAAGGAAUUGACGGGGGCCCGCACAAGCGGCGGAGCAUGCGGAUUAAUUCGAUGCAACGCGAAGAACCUUACCAAGGCUUGACAUGAACCGGACCGGGCUGGAAACAGUCUUUCCCCUUGUGGGCUGGUUUACAGGUGGUGCAUGGUUGUCGUCAGCUCGUGUCGUGAGAUGUUGGGUUAAGUCCCGCAACGAGCGCAACCCUCGUUCUAUGUUGCCAGCACGUGAUGGUGGGGACUCAUAGGAGACUGCCGGGGUCAACUCGGAGGAAGGUGGGGACGACGUCAAAUCAUCAUGCCCCUUAUGUCUUGGGCUUCACGCAUGCUACAAUGGCCGGUACAAAGGGUUGCGAUACUGUGAGGUGGAGCUAAUCCCAAAAAGCCGGUCUCAGUUCGGAUUGGGGUCUGCAACUCGACCCCAUGAAGUCGGAGUCGCUAGUAAUCGCAGAUCAGCAACGCUGCGGUGAAUACGUUCCCGGGCCU